AUUUACCAGACUUUCCUAGCGUAAUAUAUAAUGAAGAACCUAUUUUAUCAGAUUGCCCUAGAAUGUUACUGGCCCAUUAUCAUGACCUGUGCCUCUCAGGUAUGGAUGAGUCGUUUUAAAACCAACGACAUCAUAAGCAUAAACACAAGGUUAUUCAACCAAGAAUUCUUUCAGCCCAGUAUUUCGACCCAAGACAUUUGGUUAGUGGGAACAGGUUAAUGUCAGCGGACUGCCGUCGCACGUGACAACAAGAUAUGAGCUCAUUUGCCUUUCGGUCAGGUGAGAUAAUUAAACAGCUUCACUUCCCUUGGUGUUUUAUAGUACCUCAAAUGGGAUAGUUACCAUAUUGAUUUAGUUCUUACAAUACUAGCACAAACUGCUUAGAGCUGGUUCAAUCAUUCGACGAGACGAUUUCCAAUCGUACUGGUCUAUAUCUCCAGUUGUAUAACAUCAGUUUGUAGAGCGCUUGGGCUGCCCUGUAGAAGUGUCACGAACUUUGUCUCUGCACAUGACUCCGACCGGAAUCUUUCGAUUGACAAGGGAUACACUAUCGAUCCAUACAAUGGAGUGGAGAAGGUUGUGGAUACGCAUGCGCUGUGGGAUUUCCACGUGUGGAAUGAGGUGUGGAUGAAGAGGCCCGACCUUCCUGAGAAACCCGAUAAAUUGAGUGGCUGGCAGGUCCUCGACCCCACCCCACAGGAACCUUCGGGACAUAUAUACGUAUGUGGCCCCGCCCCUGUGACAGCCGUAAGGAAAGGCCUAUGUGACCUAUCGUACGACACGGCCUUCGUUUUUGCCGAGCUAAAUGCGGGUAGAACCAUCUGGCAGAGACGAGUCGGAGUAAACUGGGUCAAGAUAAAAGAAAACCC